rnacentral:tRNA from 1 species
GCUAGAGAGAUGGCUCAGUGGUUAAGAGCACUGACUGCUCUUCCAGAGGUCCUGAGUUCAAUUCCCAGCAGUGGCU